GACGAACGCUGGCGGCGUGCUUAACACAUGCAAGUCGAACGGAAAGGCCCUGCUUUUGUGGGGUGCUCGAGUGGCGAACGGGUGAGUAACACGUGAGUAACCUGCCCUUGACUUUGGGAUAACUUCAGGAAACUGGGGCUAAUACCGGAUAGGAGCUCCUGCUGCAUGGUGGGGGUUGGAAAGUUUCGGCGGUUGGGGAUGGACUCGCGGCUUAUGAGCUUGUUGGUGGGGUAGUGGCUUACCAAGGCUUUGACGGGUAGCCGGCCUGAGAGGGUGACCGGCCACAAUGGGACUGAGAGACGGACCAGACUCGUACGGGAGGCAGUAGUGGGGAAUAUUGCACAAUGGGCGGAAGCGUGAUGCAGAAACGCCGCGUGCGGGAUGACGGGCUUCGGGUUGUAAACCGCUUUCGCCUGUGACGAAGCGGGAGUGACGGUAAUGGGUAAAGAAGCACCGGCUAACUACGUG
rnacentral:rRNA from 1 species